UACGUAGGGCGCAAGCGUUGUCCGGAAUCAUUGGGCGUAAAGAGCUCGUAGGUGGUCUGUUACGUCUGCUGUGAAAUCCUAGGGCUUAACCCUGGGCCUGCAGUGGAUACGGGCAGACUAGAGGUAGGUAGGGGAGAAUGGAAUUCCCGGUGUAGCGGUGAAAUGCGCAGAUAUCGGGAGGAACACCGGUGGCGAAGGCGGUUCUCUGGGCCUUACCUGACACUGAGGAGCGAAAGCGUGGGGAGAGGACAGGAGUUAGAA
rnacentral:rRNA from 1 species